GGGGGGGGGGGGGGGGGGGGGGGGGGGAGGGGGGGAGGGGGCGGGGGGGGGGGCUGGGUUCGGUGGAGGGGGUGGGAAGGGGUGCGUGAGGGGUGGGGAACCUGCCUGGUGGCGGGGGGUAGCUAUUGGACACGAUCGGUAAUACCGCAUCAGAGUAGAUGUUGCGUUACAUUUGCUUAAAAGGUGCAAUUGCAUCACUACCCGAUGGACCUGCGUUGUAUUAGCUAGUUGGUGGGGGAACGGCUCACCAAGGCGAAGAGCCAUAGCCUACCUGAGAGGGGGAUCGGCCACACUGGGACUGAGACACGGCCCAGACUCCUACGGGAGGCAGCAGUAGGGAAUCUUCGGCAAUGGACGGAAGUCUGACCGAGCAACGCCGCGUGAGUGAAGAAGGGUUUCGGAUCGUAAAGCUCUGUUGUAAGAGAAGAACGAGUGUGAGAGUGGAAAGUUCACACUGUGACGGUAUCUGACCAGAAAGGGACGGCUAACUACGUG
rnacentral:rRNA from 1 species